UCACUUCCGCCCCCGCGGCAAAGCAGGAAGGUCGGAGGGCUGGAGAGGUGGGGACCCUGGGGAGGUGGCGGCUCGGAGUCUAGGUGACGGGGCGAGACGGGGCCGGUAGGUGGCGGGAGGGGGGUCGGGCCGGAGCCGGCGGGAGGGCCAGGCCCGGAGGCCCCCACCCUGGCGUGCCCGCCCCGGCCGCGGCUGAGGAGGAGGAGGAGGAGGAUGAUCUCCAGAUACACUCGGAAGGCGGUGCCACAGAGCUUGGAGCUGAAAGGAAUAACAAAACAUGCUCUUAACCAUCAUCCCCCUCCCGAGAAGCUGGAGGAAAUUUCCCCCACCAGUGACAGUCAUGAGAAAGACACAAGUUCCCAAAGCAAGUCUGACAUCACAAGAGAAUCAUCUUUUACAUCAGCCGACACUGGGAAUUCACUGUCUGCUUUUCCAAGUUAUACAGGCGCAGGGAUAUCUACUGAAGGAAGCUUGGACUUCUGGGGAUAUGGUGAACUCGAUCAAAAUGCCACUGAAAAAGUCCAGGCAAUGUUCACAGCCAUUGAUGAACUCUUGUAUGAGCAGAAGUUGAGUGUGCAUACCAAGAGUCUACAAGAAGAGUGCCAACAGUGGACAGCUAGCUUUCCUCACCUCAGGAUUCUAGGUAGGCAGAUAAUCACUCCAAGUGAAGGUUAUAGAUUGUAUCCUAGAUCCCCUUCUGCUGUUUCCGCUUCAUAUGAAACAACCUUGUUUCAAGAAAGAGAUUCUACUAUAUUUGGUAUAAGGGGAAAUAAGUUACAUUUUUCAUCUUCUUAUGCUCAUAAAGCAUCUUUCAUUGCCAAAUCCUCCAGCUUUUGUUCUAUGGAAAGAGAUGAGGAAGACUCUAUAAUUGUCUCAGAAGGAAUAAUUGAAGAAUACCUAGCAUUUGAUCACACAGAUAUGGAAGAGGGAUUUCGUGGGAAGAAAUCAGAAGCAGCUACAGAGAAACAGAAAUUAGGGUAUCCUCCCAUUGCUCCAUUUUACUGCAUGAAAGAAGAUGUCCUUGCUUAUGUGUUUGACAAUGUAUGGAGCAAGGUUGUGAGCUGUAUGGAGCAGUUGACACGUAGUCACUGGGAAGGAUUUGCCUCUGAUGAUGAGAGUAAUGUUGCAGUUACCAGACCAGAUUCAGAAAGUUCCUGUGUGCUGAGUGAACCACAUCCUUUGGUGUUACCACGAGUGCCACAGUCUAAGGUGCUGUCCAUUACGUCAAAUCCGAUGAGUCUCUGUCAAGCAAGCAGUCAUCAGCCAAAUGUAAAUGGUCUCUUGGUUCAUGGGAUGCCUCUACAGCCAAGAAAUCGCUCCCUAAUGGACAAGCUCCUAGAUCUUGAUGACAAGCUACUUAUGAUGCCUGGGUCCAAUACCAUCCUUUCAACUCGAAAUUGGCCAAAUCGAGCUGUGGAGUUUAGUACAUCAUCUCUGUCAUACACAGUGCAGUCCACCAGGAGACGCAAUCCACUGCCACGAACCCUUCAUCCGAUCAGCACGAGCCAUUCACGUGCUAGAACACCAAGACCUGUGGAAGAAAUCCUCAGAGGAGCCCGAGUCCCACUGGCAGCCGACUCGCUCUCCUCUCCCUCACCGAUGCCCCUGAGUCGACAUAAUCUGCUACCACCUAUUGGCACAGCUGAAGUGGAACAUGUGAGCACUGUGGGGUCACAAGGACAGAUGGUAUGUUUCUUUCAUAUUGCCUCUCCACGUACUUACUAUACAACCUCAUGGGCAGUAAUUCUGCAGGAUCUGUGCCCUGAUCUUGAUUUAUACUGUGUUUUGUCAAAAGUACAAACAGAGUGCUAAUUUAUGAGGUGGAAUUGGAGCUGUUUGGCCUGCACUUACCAUAUCUGCCAUGGUCGAUAGGGUUUUAACUACAUACCACACUACAGAUAGUUUUCACUGUUUCUGUAACUUUUGUCUCCUCUGCAGAAACCCCACGGCGACUCUAGUCGAGCUCAAAGUGCAGUGGUGGAUGAACCUAACUAUCAGCAGCCACAAGAAAGGCUCCUUUUGCCCGACUUUUUCCCCAGGCCCAACACAACUCAAUCAUUUUUGCUGGAUACACAGUAUCGUCACUCAUGUGCAGUUGAGUAUCCUCAUCAGGCCCGACCUGGUAGGGGAUCUGCAGGUCCUCAGUUACAUGGGUCUACAAAAUCUCAAAGUAGAGGCGGACCAGUCUCUCGAACCAGGCAGGGACCAUAAGGCAAAUGAGAAGACCUAUCAGGCUGCAGGAAACACGAGAUUUCAUGAAGCGGUAUUCAGUCAUUAAGUGAUGCAGAGCUUGUAUAGAAGAUCGACUAGAAGAUCGACUAGAAACCAUCUUCAUGAAGAGUGAUUUUGGCACAAGUGACUGAAGAAUAAAACACUAUAGCGGCCAAAAAUGA